GAAAAUGUUGUCUCUCUUGAGUGGAUCCUGAGUACGACGGAGCACGUGAAAUUCCGUCGGAAUCUGGGAGGACCAUCUCCUAAGGCUAAAUACUCUCUAGUGACCGAUAGUGAACCAGUACCGUGAGGGAAAGGUGAAAAGCACCCCGGAAGGGGAGUGAAAUAGAACCUGAAACCGUGUGCUUACAAGUAGUCAGAGCCCGUUAAUGGGUGAUGGCGUGCCUUUUGUAGAAUGAACCGGCGAGUUACGAUUUGAUGCAAGGUUAAGCAGUAAAUGUGGAGCCGUAGCGAAAGCGAGUCUGAAUAGGGCGUUUAGUAUUUGGUCGUAGACCCGAAACCAGGUGAUCUACCCUUGGUCAGGUUGAAGUUCAGGUAACACUGAAUGGAGGACCGAACCGACUUACGUUGAAAAGUGAGCGGAUGAACUGAGGGUAGCGGAGAAAUUCCAAUCGAACCUGGAGAUAGCUGGUUCUCUCCGAAAUAGCUUUAGGGCUAGCCUCAAGUGAUGAUUAUUGGAGGUAGAGCACUGUUUGGACGAGGGGCCCCUCUCGGGUUACCGAAUUCAGACAAACUCCGAAUGCCAAUUAAUUUAACUUGGGAGUCAGAACAUGGGUGAUAAGGUCCGUGUUCGAAAGGGAAACAGCCCAGACCACCAGCUAAGGUCCCAAAAUAUAUGUUAAGUGGAAAAGGAUGUGGCGUUGCCCAGACAACUAGGAUGUUGGCUUAGAAGCAGCCAUCAUUUAAAGAGUGCGUAAUAGCUCACUAGUCGAGUGACACUGCGCCGAAAAUGUACCGGGGCUAAACAUAUUACCGAAGCUGUGGAUUGUCCUUUGGACAAUGGUAGGAGAGCGUUCUAAGGGCGUUGAAGCAUGAUCGUAAGGACAUGUGGAGCGCUUAGAAGUGAGAAUGCCGGUGUGAGUAGCGAAAGACGGGUGAGAAUCCCGUCCACCGAUUGACUAAGGUUUCCAGAGGAAGGCUCGUCCGCUCUGGGUUAGUCGGGUCCUAAGCUGAGGCCGACAGGCGUAGGCGAUGGAUAACAGGUUGAUAUUCCUGUACCACCUAUAAUCGUUUUA
rnacentral:rRNA from 1 species